GACGAACCGUGCGAACGUUGUUCGGAAUCACUGGGCUUAAAGGGCGCGUAGGCGGACAGUCAAGUCAGGGGUGAAAUCCCACGGCUCAACCGUGGAAGUGCCUUUGAUACUGAUAGUCUUGAGUAUGGGAGAGGUGAGUGGAACUGCGAGUGUAGAGGUGAAAUUCGUAGAUAUUCGCAAGAACACCAGUGGCGAAGGCGGCUCACUGGCCCAUUACUGACGCUGAGGCACGAAAGCGUGGGGAGCAAACAGG
rnacentral:rRNA from 1 species